rnacentral:rRNA from 1 species
AUGAACGCUGGCGGCGUGCCUAAUACAUGCAAGUCGAGCGAACAGAUGAGGAGCUUGCUCCUCUGACGUUAGCGGCGGACGGGUGAGUAACACGUGGAUAACCUACCUAUAAGACUGGGAUAACUUCGGGAAACCGGAGCUAAUACCGGAUAAUAUAUUGAACCGCAUGGUUCAAUAGUGAAAGACGGUUUUGCUGUCACUUAUAGAUGGAUCCGCGCCGCAUUAGCUAGUUGGUAAGGUAACGGCUUACCAAGGCAACGAUGCGUAGCCGACCUGAGAGGGUGAUCGGCCACACUGGAACUGAGACACGGUCCAGACUCCUACGGGAGGCAGCAGUAGGGAAUCUUCCGCAAUGGGCGAAAGCUUGACGGAGCAACGCCGCGUGAGUGAUGAAGCUCUUCGGAUCGUAAAACUCUGUUAUUAGGGAAGAACAAAUGUGUAAGUAACUAUGCACGUCUUGACGGUACCUAAUCAGAAAGCCACGGCUAACUACGUG